rnacentral:rRNA from 1 species
UAUUUGAAGAGUUUGAUCAUGGCUCAGAUUGAACGCUGGCGGCAGGCCUCAUACAUGCAAGUUGAACGAGAAAGUAUCUUCGGAUGCGAGUACAGUGGCGGACGGGUGAGUAAUACAUAGGAAUCUACCCAAUGGAGGGGGAUAGCUCGAGGAAACUCGAAUUAAUACCGCAUAAUCUCCACGGAGUAAAGAGGGCUUCGGCUCUUGCCAUCGGAUGAGCCUAUGCAAGAUUAGCUUGUUGGUAAGGUAAUGGCUUACCAAGGCUACGAUCUUUAGCUGGUUUGAGAGGACGACCAGCCACAUCGGGACUGAGACACGGCCCGGACUUCUACGGAAGGCAGCAGUAGGGAAUAUUGGACAAUGAGCGAAAGCUUGAUCCAGCCAUGCCGCGUGUGUGAUGACGGCCUUCGGGUUGUAAAGCACUUUAGGUAAUGAGGAAAAAUUAGAUGUUAAUACCACCUAAUCUUGACGUUAAUUACAGAAUAAGCACCGGCUAAAUCCGUGCCAGCAGCCGCGGUAAUACGGAUGGUGCAAGCGUUAAUCGGAAUUACUGGGCGUAAAGCGCGCGUAGGUGGUUUAUUAAGUUGGAUGUGAAAGCCCUGGGCUUAACCUCGGAACUGCAUUCCAAACUGGCGAACUA